CUCGCUACCGCAUUCUCUGCCCCUCGCCCACCCUCGCGCGCGUCCAGCGUGCGCAGAGGCAGCGUCCCUCCCUCUGUCGUGCGUGGCGGUGGCGCCCCCUCCCUCUCGACCACGUGAGCGGGUGUGAGGCGAGAGAUAGACGAUGGUUGACUGCCUCGAGCAUCGAAGAGCGGGGAAUCCAAGGGCGAGAUGAUGAUCCAGUUUGUGUUGUUCAUCAACAAACAGGGCUAGACACGGCUAGGGCGGUACUACGAGCACCUCCAUCGACGAGCGACGAGCCCUCGAGGGUCAGAUCGUCCACAAGUGCCUCACCCGCACCAACUGGCAGGUUUGUCAUCCGUCGGUCCGUCCGCAUCGCUGCCUCAUCACCCCUGAUCAUCCUUCUUCCCCAAGUCCCGUCUGUUGCUUCUUUCCCACUGAUCCGACCAUAUCAUUGCCCUCCUUUCCGGAUCCACGAACCUACUGGGUUUGUGUUGAUCGUCUUGGAUCUGGAUAGGGAUAAAGGGUUUUCCUGCCCUUCUGAUUUUCUAAGACUCCCGCUGAUUUUGUGUUGAUGCAAUGUUCAUUUGUGGAGCACCGGAACUACAAGGUCAUUUACAUGCUCUACAUGUUCCAAUUCUUCCUCGUCGGUGUUGGCAGCGAUGAGGUGCGAACCACCCCUGUGCCAUCUCUCAAUGCCUCUUGCAUUUGGGAAUUCAGGCUACCGCCAUGCUAAUUUCGCUGUGAUUGCAAACUGUGGAUGAAGUCGAUCCUCUGAUAUACCAUUGUUACAGCCUGGGUUUAGCUGCUGCAAUAUAUCUGUGCUCAACCUUGAUUGUGAUGACAAUGGUUUGGCAGUAAACAUUAUUAUGCAGAUCUGUGAACCACAAAGAUUACACAUACCUCAAAUAAAUUGUCUUCCUUAAAGUCAUAAUAAGUUAUUUUUUCUCAUAUUUUCUAGCAUAUGGCUAGCACCCAGCACUAGCAGACCUCAUCACUUCUGAAUUAUUGCUCAGCUUACUUGCGGAAUAGCUGGUUAUGAUUACCAGUCUGUUAGGAGAUGGACAACAUUCAAGAGGCUGGGUUAUGGCCUUGUCGAGUGUGAGAAAAUCUUUGUUCCAGUGCAUAGAAAUGCACAUUGGUGCACAUAGAUAUGACAAUGCACUGGUUCCGGAUGGCCUUCCCUAUGAAAUUGUUGGAGUUGAGCCAGGUUAUAUAUGGUUUCAGCCAAACCUAUCCUGGCGAAUUUUCAGCUCUAUGUGCAGUUACUCGAUCUUAUUAUUGUUGAAAUAGAAGUGUGCUCCAUUUACAAAGAGCUCUACAGGUGAGCUCAUGCCCCAUCUCAUUAAACUAAAAGUGCUACGUGCUUUAGACCCCAAAGAGAAUUUUUAUUAGGGAUUGGAUUAUCGUACUAUAGCACCAUCUUCUGCACAUAUCUACUGUACAUAUGUUUUGUUUAUAUAGUUCGUUUAUGACAUUAUUGCAUGUCUGCAUCUAGGUACUAGAAUGACCCUGAUACUCUUCAAAAGCACCUAUAUAUUAUCGACCCUUUGGAGUCUACACAAGCACCUAAUCUUCUUUUUCUUGUAGGUAUGGCCUCUAUAAUGCAUGAGAUGUGAAGGACAAUAUCAGAGAGCUUAUGAAUGUGAACCCGUAGGACUCCACAAUAUCCUUCUCAUUGUCUUUGACAGAAAACAACGAUCAUGUGCAGUUUUUUUUUAAAAAGUAAAACAAUAUUUUGAAUGCAUAUAUCCUUGUUGUCUUCUGAAAUAAAGGACCAAUAAUUGUAUUUGCAUAUGGUGAUUUUAUUCAACAUGCUGCUGUGAAUAUUAGUGUUUCAAUUGGAUCUUACUGCUACACUUGGUUGCAUAGGUUCUGUCAAGUUAGCGAACACCACAAACCACUGAUAUGGUCUGCUGUUAUGUCCUAAUGCCCCAUUCUGUUUCUGCUAUUUAUAGUAUGCAUUAUAUAUAAUUCUAUUUGGCACCAGGAAAACUUGAACGUAUGUGUUGAUGCCUUAAAUAUGUCAGCGGAUAUCCUUGAAGGUUCAAUGGAUCAACAUUUCCAUUCGAUAAUGCAAAAUCGCCAUACACAACAUAGAAGGGAUAUGGUCGAUGAUAACUUAACAUCAGAAAUAAUUGAAGAAACUGUUAAUUAUGAAGAAUUGCAUCACAUGUUUACUUUUAUUUUUUAUUGCUAAUAAAUCAUCAUCAAUUGUUUAUAGAUAAUCUAUUGCAUUUUACUCGAUAAGGUAUAUUUUGCCUGGAGAACAGUUUCAGUUGGGUGGAAACUUAUUUACCGGGACAUAUGUUUGCAAACGCAACAAGUUGCCUGAUCACUUUUUAGAGUUUGUUUCACUUUUUUGUCCAUGUCAUUACGCGCCCCUUAGCAGUAUACAUUUAUCAGUUGAUUCAACCACAAGUUCGAAUUCAUUUUUUGGGCCCGCUGUUAGAUCGAGUCCAUGUACAUUUAUCAUUUUUUGGAAACCAAAUGGAGUUUAGAUAUCAUGAAUAUCUAAUGAGUUCACUGCAUUUAUUUUGUUAUGUAUACUCUUUUUGUAGUUUUAUAAUAUAGUUAUCUAUAUUCAUCUGUUCCCUUUGGUUUAUGAGGACAAUUUCUCUUUAUUGUGGAUGGAUGAGAGAGAACUAUGUUCCUACUUUUUGGGAUGCAAUUGCUCCACAGCUCAUGACACAUGUAAUAUUUUUGUUAAUGUUGGUACAUCUUGAUACAUAUAACACACAGUUGUGAUAAUAAUUCGCAGCGUGUUUUAUGAUUUCUAAUCCUCACCUUCUCUUUUCCAGUUGGGCUGCUAUUUUACCCCGUGAAGUGUGAACUCCAACCAGGCCUCUUAAGUUAGAGUUAGCUAAUAUCCCGAAUUACAGAAAAGCAGGUGGUUACACCAACAGAUAAUGAACUGAUAGUUGUUGGAGAUGGUCAUUCAGGUACCAUAUCUGUUCGUGCAGCUGGUAACGACCUUAUAAGACCAUUUGAUGUUGCUGUUGUUGUACCCACUUGAGCUAGACCCUUUUCCAUCGUACGCAACAAAUUGAUUAUAUGACAUACUGAUAUUUCAUGUCAGAGGAUCAAUCUCUUUCAGUUAGGAAUCGACAGAUCCAAGAUGUAGAAAACUCUACUUUUUGUAGCACUACUCAUUCUCUUUUUAUUAACUACUCUCUUUUUAUACAUGCAUGGAUCUUUGAAUCGGCUCUCUUUUAGAUUUGUAUAUAUGCUCGGAUUCUCGCAACUCUUGUAUUUGUUGUAUUGUUAUUUAUUUAAUAGAAUCAAGUCCAUAACAGGAAAACCACACUUGUUUUUAAUGGAAUGAAGUUCUUAACAGAAUAUGAUUGUGUGCAUAUAACAAUUAUGUACAUAUAACAAUUUUUUGUAUUUGAGAUUCGUCUGUACAUUUUUUCAAACCCAAAACUUGUUUAUCUAUUUUCAGAAAACUGUAAUUAUCUAUUUGUUUUGGCUAAAUGAGGGGCAGAUGAUGAUGAUGAGACACCCAUGGAUAUUGAUUCGUGUUAGGUGGAAUAUUUUGGUUUGUCCGAAGUUUACCCGUGAGUUUUUGUUUACCUUUUGGAAUAGAACUCCAUUGUGUCUGUUUGUCCCACACUUUUCUUUCUUUUCCUACAUCUGCUGGAACUCUGAUCCAUCUCACUUCUCAGAGCUCUUCUUCGUUUUCAAUGUGGUUUGUUCACCUACUAUGUCUGCUAGAACAAAUUUUUUCAAGGAAAAUUCAGAGGCAUUAUCAGCCGCAGCAGCUGUGGCUGCCAUUUUCUUCACCGUGUUACUGUAGCAACGAUAGAAAAUGUUGAAACGUAUCUCAACAUUUUUUGGGUUGAUCUGGUUAGUACGAAAUACUUUCUCUUUUUUUUCUUUACAAGUACGGACGGCAAGCGCACAAGAACUGGACGCCUCCUCCCAGGCUCCCAUGCCGUAAACAGUCGACGAGGAAAUGCUCAAGAAAAGGAAGCGUCCCAUUGGGCGGUGGAAGCACAGAUGAGCAGCAGCCUCAGUUGCAUCUACACUGCAAGCAGACGAUCCUUUCCUGACAUCUAGCGGCCACGCAGAAGCUGCAGUCUUCAGGUGCUGACCACGAUUUCUUUGAUCUGGAGAAGCUGAGCUUUGUUGCGCCAUUGCCGUUGCACAUGCGGUUGAGCUGGAAGAUUUGCCCAUAGGAAAAUAAUGCUGUCAUAUUUUUAGGCAUGUCUGCUUGCUGUAUUGUAAGACCUAUAUGUUAGCUAUAUUGCCAUACAAAACACUAAUUUGCAGAGCGGAGUUUAAAUAUGAGGACGAGGAUUGGUAAGAGACUAAAGAUAGUCGUGUUGGAUUUGCUUUAAGACGCCGCAAAAAGAACAACCUGAAACUCUUAAUUUGUGUAAGGGACAAGUAUUUUAAAAAUACAUUGAAUAGAUUUAUCGUUGCCACACUAAAAUAAAGACUUGCUAUCUGUUGCAGGAGUCUCAUGGGAGUCUGCUCUGCAAAAAAACGCAGAUUACCGAUCUUAGAUAGAAGGAAACAUAGUGGGGGGAAAAGGAAGCUUUUGUUUUCUUGUACUAUAGAAUUAGCAAUUCGUGCUUUUGUCCCGGUCUUAGUUAUUCAGGAAACGAACAUUGAAUUUAACUGUGCAAUUUUUAGACCCAACUUGACGAUUCACAUCUUUUGUGGGUAGUUCGCCCGUUUCACUUUCGUGGUGUUUUCUUGUAGCCUUUUGUCUGC